AGGAUGAAUGCUGGCGGCGCGCCUAACACAUGCAAGUCGAGCGGAAAGGCCCUUCGGGGUACUCGAGCGGCGGACGGCUGAGUAACGCGUGGGAACAUGCCCCAAAGUGAGGAAUAACUGCCCGAAAGGGUAGCUAAUGCCGCAUAUGAUCUUCGGAUUAAAGGAUUUAUCCGCUUUGGGAGUGGCCCGCGUACGAUUAGGUAGUUGGUGAGGUAAAGGCUCACCAAGCCCACGAUCGUUAACUGGUCUGAGAGGAUGAUCAGUCAGACUGGAACUGAGACACGGUCCAGACUCCUACGGGAGGCAGCAGUGAGGAAUCUUCCACAAUGGGCGAAAGCCUGAUGGAGCGACGCCGCGUGCAGGAUGAAGCCUUGGUGUAACUGCUUUAUAGUGAAGAUAUGACGGUAACUUAUAGAAUAAGCACCGGCUAACUACGCGCCAGCAGCCG
rnacentral:rRNA from 1 species